AUUGAACGCUGGCGGCAUGCCUUACACAUGCAAGUCGAACGGCAGCACGGGGGCAACCCUGGUGGCGAGUGGCGAACGGGUGAGUAAUGCAUCGGAACGUGCCCAGUAGUGGGGGAUAACUAUCCGAAAGGAUAGCUAAUACCGCAUACGCACUAAGGUGGAAAGCGGGGGAUCGCAAGACCUCGCGCUAUUGGAGCGGCCGAUGUCGGAUUAGCUAGUUGGUGGGGUAAAGGCUCACCAAGGCGACGAUCCGUAGCUGGUCUGAGAGGACGACCAGCCACACUGGGACUGAGACACGGCCCAGACUCCUACGGGAGGCAGCAGUGGGGAAUUUUGGACAAUGGGGGGAACCCUGAUCCAGCCAUGCCGCGUGUGUGAAGAAGGCCUUCGGGUUGUAAAGCACUUUUGGCGAGAACGAAACGGCGCUGGUUAAUACCUAGCGCUAAUGACGGUACUCGCAGAAUAAGCACCGGCUAACUACGUGCCAGCCGCCGCCGUAA
rnacentral:rRNA from 1 species